GGACCUGCCCCUUUCUUCAUGAUUUUUGGCCAUUGGCCGGUCGCCGGCGGCCAACGCUUACUGAGGACGACAGGUAGAGAGGUGAGGAUCCUAUCCUAGGGGUGAGACGUCGCAAACGGUGACGCCGGUGGCCGAAAAAGAGAGGAAAGGGUCCGAUCGAAACAAAGCAAAACAUGGGUUAUCUUGUUCAUGGAUUUUCCGACAAUCCC
rnacentral:lncRNA from 1 species